rnacentral:lncRNA from 1 species
UGGCUUUUAUGGUUCUUGAGUGAUUGAUUUUUGGAUUUUCAUCUUGGUUGUUGAAUGUUAUUUGCUUUUUGUGUGUGUGUGUGUGUGGAUUUCAUGGUUCUUGAGUUUAAUCUGAUUCAAUAAUGAAUUCUUGAAAGUUAGUAUAGUUUUUCAUAUUGAAUUUACAUGUGGAAACUACUUUUGAUGUUGACUUUUAUGUUAUAAGCAUUCUAGGUGGAAAAGUUAUUUAAAAAUUGUUAUAUAUAACUUAAAUCCUUUUGGUUUUUGUCAUUUCAGGCAUUUAUG